UCAAGCAAAACUGAAAAAAGAACGGGUCUCAGUUCGGAUUGAAGGCUGAAAUUCGCCUUCAUGAAGUCGGAAUUGCUAGUAAUGGCAGGUCAGCAUACUGCCGUGAAUACGUUCCCGGGCCUUGUACACACCGCCCGUCACACCAUGAGAGUUGGGAAUACCCGAAGCCUGUGAGCCAACAAACGAGGCAGCAGUCGAAGGUAGAAUCAAUGAUUGGGGUGAAGUCGUAACAAGGUACC
rnacentral:rRNA from 1 species